rnacentral:rRNA from 1 species
AACGAACGCUGGCGGCGUACUUAACACAUGCAAGUCGGACGAGAAAGGAGACUUCGGUCUCUGAGUACAGUGGCGCACGGGUGCGUAACACGUAAGUAAUCUACCCCGAACUCCAGGAUAACCCUCCGAAAGGAGGGCUAAUACUAGAUAGGGUCCCCGAGGUAUAGGCUGCGGGGGGAAAACGGGCCUCUGUUUCAUGCUCGUGGUUCGGGAUGAGCUUGCGGCCCAUUAGCUUGUUGGUAGGGUAAUGGCUUACCAAGGCUACGAUGGGUAGCUGGUCUGAGAGGAUGAUCAGCCACACUGGCACUGAGACACGGGCCAGACUCCUACGGGAGGCAGCAGUGGGGAAUUUUGCGCAAUGGGCGAAAGCCUGACGCAGUAACGCCGCGUGGAGGAUGAAGGCCUUCGGGUUGUAAACUCCUGUCAGGGGGAACGACGGGGAAAGGGUGACAAAUCCUUUCCUCCAGACGGUACCUCCAAAGGAAGCCCCGGCUAAUUCCGUGCCAGCAGCCGCCGUAACAC